UUACACCAGCCUUUGAUUUAUAUAUCCACCGUCCACUGAUCAGUGACCUGAAAAGGUUGGGCGCUCUGAGCUAGCACAUAAGCUGAUUGAUGAGAUGGAUUGAAAUGCUUUUGAUUUGUUAGGCCGUCAAUAUUCCAAACUGAAGUCCAAGGAAGAACGAUCAGGAACAGCAGGUAAGAAGACCAUGAGUUAGUUGUCUUACAGGCAUGCACAUGCACAAGGUGCUGAUACAUAGUUGCAGAUUUCCAAUGGAUGCUGGUAUUGUCGGCUGACACCUCCGGGGCUGUACAUCAUGAUGGUUACCAAGACACGACAAUGAUCUCAAUGCUACAAACCUGAAUGGAAUACCAUAACUGCAGACCUGAUCACAAUGCUACAGACUUGAAUGAAAUACCAUGAUUGCAGGCCUUUGCUGAUUUGCGUUUUCCAUUGAUCUUCAGUGCACUAAAGAAUAGUGAAAUCUUGGCAUCUAAUUCAUUUUGCAGGCUAUGCUUUUAACUCAAUGAAAAUGUGCAUUGUUAGUUGACCUUAUUGUCUGUUUGUAGCUAAUUGGGAGACAAACAUGGGCAAUGAGCAGCUUUUUUGAUGACAGUGCAAUCAAGGACUCACAUAUUCACUGAUGAAUCUACCUCUAUUUGGUACUGUGUAUAUACCUGAAAAUAGUAGCAUCGGCUUUGCAUAUUUAUUUUCUGAAUCAGCAACACUGUACUAGGUUCUUCAUCGGCAAUGUACAUAGUGAUGCUUAACUGCCGGUUUGAAUUAUUGGAUGCAUCUGUUGUGAGACAUUCAUGUGUUGUCAUAGUGACUUGCCUGCGCUCAUUGUUGAUCGCUAAGAAGUGAGUUGGUCCAGAGAUUGCAGCUGAGAUGGAGCUCAGCAGGACAACUAGACAUGCACAGCUUGGUGUUAUCCACAGAGGAGAUCACAUUUCCAGUCCAGUCAUAAAUUAUUAUAAUUAUUUUACUCAUGUUCAUACUAAAUUUGAAACGGGUCAAUCCACAAGCUUCUGAUCCUCGGUUCAUUUUUGAACUAUAUCCAUGUGUUCUAUCAAGGAUCAUUUUGGCACAUAUGGAAAAGACAAGCAAUUUUGUUACCAGAAUUAUCAUAUUUGUAAGGUCAAUCACCCAUGGGUUCUGCACUUCACUAGAAAUAAUUUGUACCCUUGACCUGAUAAGAUGUUGUUGUAUUAUGAAUUAUUCAUAGUAUGAGACCAAAUUUCUUGUUUUA